rnacentral:misc_RNA from 1 species
CGGCUCUUUUUUUCUUAUUGUCACCGACGAGACGUCCUCAGUGGCAGUCGCCGUUCUUAUCUACUCACUCGGCUGCGUGGUUGCGCUGUGCGCUGUUCACGACGAGCAGAUAAUAACAAGUCGUUCGCUGUGUGUGUGUGUGUGUGUGUGUGCGUGUGUCUGUGUGUUGUGCCUUCACAAGACAUGUGCCUCGCGUUUCUCUUCCUUGGUCCCCUCACGAGUCACAGCUUCGUCUUCGAUGAGUUCAAAGUAUGACGUGAUCAAGGUCAAGGUGCACCUGAGCGAUGUGCACUAUUACGUCCUCUCGCGCUUUCUUCUUUCCAGGAUGCUCAUGUUCUGCCGUGUUCCCGAGGACACCGCCGUUCGCAUUAGUCUCGACGUCAAGAAGCACUUUGUGAACACGGAGCGCACCUCCAUCACGCAGGCAGAGCUGGAAGACUAUAUAAGAUGCUCAAUGAUCGCCGCAGGAUUCGCGCAAGAGCACGCACAGCUUUUUUCGGUGGUAACACAAUUUCACGCGGAGCGGAUUCCACUGAUACUCUUCAUCGCUGGGCCUGAGCGGUGUGGCAAGACGACGCUGGCACACCUCCUCGCCGCACGCAUAAACUGCAGCACGGUGAUCAACGCCGAGGUGCUGCGCGAUAUUAGCGCCUCGAUUGACGACAGCCUUCCCUCCUUUGCAGUGUCUGAAACAAGCUCACCAGACUCGACGCCUUCCACGUUGCGCGGUGUUGAAGUCUCUGCUGCCGUGGCAGCGGAGGUGGACAAAGCCGUGCGAGAAGGGCGAGCCAUCAUCGUAGAAGGCGAGAACCUGUCCUUCGCUGGCUUCCACCGCUUUCUCGAGCCAUCCUUCCAGUUUUCCACAGGAGCCGUGAUAUUGGGUCUCGUGAUGGAGACCUGUGGGAGCGAGGCGGAGACGGAUGCGAGUCAUGCAUACGUAAAGGCGCUUCCCAACUUGCAGCCCGUUUUCUCGACGGAGCGCCUGACUGUUUUUGCUGCCGACAUGGUCGAUCUUGCAAAAGGCGUCAGUGGGAUCCCUACCGUUUACGUAGCGCGCUGCACCACCGUCGCCGAUAACGUCUGUCUGUCCGUCUUUCUUCACGACAUUGUGGUGAAGCGCAUCAUUGCCGAACUCAAACGCCGCGGGAGAAUGCUAUAGCAGGGUACCCUUCCCCUUCUCUAACUCAGCUGCAGACUGUAGCUGCCCGAAGCGCGCAGAUGGCGGACAGGGCACACUCCAUCUGUUUUUGGUGGCACUCGUAUCGGGGUUCGAUCUCGCUGGCUCCUUGCCGUCUCUGCUCUCUGCCGCUGGUUUCUUUUCUUUACUCGCCUUUCAGCAUACCCAACAUACAGCGAGGGCCGUUCAAGUCCAUUACCGUGAGCCGAGCCAGCGUACCCGUUACCCGGCAAUCUCCUCACUGUCUUCUCUCCUCUUGGGUGUCCCCUUCUUGCCGUGGGCAUAUGAGGGUGUUGCUGCUACAGCAAACGCUGCUGAAACGAUCAGUGGUAUGUGCGGAUGCGGAUGCUGUUCCUUCUUGUCUCACUACUUUGCAUAUUAUUUCCGCGAACCAGUGCGCGCCCUCUCUCCUUUGUCUUCCUCCAUUCUUUCCCCGUCUUUUUUUUUGUCGACCCCCUCACACCUUCUUUGAACGCUUGUGGCCUUCACCCACCCCUUCGCCUCACAUCUUCAG